AGUGAACGCUGGCGGUAGGCCUAACACAUGCAAGUCGAACGGCAGCACAGUAAGAGCUUGCUCUUACGGGUGGCGAGUGGCGGACGGGUGAGGAAUACAUCGGAAUCUACUUUUUCGUGGGGGAUAACGUAGGGAAACUUACGCUAAUACCGCAUACGGCCUACGGGUGAAAGCAGGGGAUCUUCGGACCUUGCGCGAUUGAAUGAGCCGAUGUCGGAUUAGCUAGUUGGCGGGGUAAAGGCCCACCAAGGCGACGAUCCGUAGCUGGUCUGAGAGGAUGAUCAGCCACACGGGAACUGAGACACGGUCCAGACUCCUACGGGAGGCAGCAGUGGGGAAUAUUGGACAAUGGGCGCAAGCCUGAUCCAGCCAUACCGCGUGGGUGAAGAAGGCCUUCGGGUUGUAAAGCCCUUUUGUUGGGAAAGAAAAGCAGCAGGUUAAUACCCCGCUGUUCUGACGGUACCCAAAGAAUAAGCACCGGCUAACUUCGUG
rnacentral:rRNA from 1 species